CGAGCGUGGAAGGCUGGAUUGUUUUCUAUCGUGCAUCUUCUGUUGCUGCAGCAAAAAUUCUUUAUUUACUACCGGUCGUACCGGUAAAUUAGUGAGGGUAGUUCCUCCGGCUACGUUAAAAAAUCCUGGCGCAUGCAAAAUAGUCGUAUCCGGCGCGCCAAGGAAAAAGAAAAAGUCUUGAAAACCGGAAAAGAUCCUUGGUCUGAUUGAAGUUGAAAGACUUUCCGUUAUGUUUUCUGAUGGUGGUGGCGUUUGACUGGUGGUAUUUCCGCAAGAAAGGAACUUUAUUAAUCGAACAAGUUUCCAUAAUUUCGGAUCGAUGACGAGAAAGCCACAUCAGCGAAUGUCACUAAAAGCACCACGCCGACCAUGUAAAUGAAACGAAUUCACCAAGCUUCGCAUCAAGAGCCUGCUGCGUGGAGCUAAAUAUCAGUGUUUUUACUUGGCCGCACAGAAGGAAUCGCUUACCUUGUACGGUAUGAAUCUGUCGGCUCGGGAUCACCAGAGAUUUCUUAUUUGUUAAGGUGGAGAUUAAUCCGAACUGCAGUUGAAAAAAACAUGAUUUUGCUAGUGGAAGAGGAAGCAGAACGAUGACUUCGAACGGUGUUGAAGGUGGCGAAUUAGGCUCUGGGCUCCAUUACAAAUGGUGUUUUGAGUGUGCGUAAAAUCUAUUACAAUUUGGAGGCACUGCUAUCCUACGACGACGGAGCACCAUGAAUCAAAAUAACGAAACGAAACUAUUUCGGUCAGUACCCGGUUUGGUAUAGGGCAGUGCAGCUACUAUGGAGCGAGUGGUAGCGGCAGUCAGACCUUCCAAAGAAUUUGAACCGAAGCUUAAAACUGCGUUGUCAAGUUUUAAUGUACUGACGGAGAGCGAUGAAGGUAUUCGGAGGUGCCAAGAUUCCAGUUUCGUCGAAAUAAAAGUUAGAGCCGGUGCUUAAGCUGAACAACGGAAAAAGAUGAGUGUUUGGAACAGAUCGAAUAAACCAAAACGUUGCCGAUGUUCUACCGAUGAUAGCACUGGAACUGAUCGAUAUUGUCAAGCAACGAACGGGAUCAAGCCGACACCCCACCUGUGGAAUAUGUCAUGCGCGACCACCGGGAUAACAGUGGAAUCACAACCGCAAUAUAGACGGACUGAAAAACCACCAGCACAAUAAUGGAAAAGGCGGUGCGGUAGUAUCAGGAAUAAUAAUGGCACUGUUCUUCACACAGUAAUCGGGAAGAAAAAAUAAAUACUGAUUUUUGUUAUUAAUAUAUUUGUUGACAUUUAUUUUAAUUGAAAAAUACAAUCUACAACGCUUGUUGUUUCGAAAGUAUGACAGUUGAUUUCAAUGCAAAAUUCACAUUUAGUUUUAAGAGAAAAAUGUUGUUUUG